AGCGGCGGGCGGGUGAGUAACGCGUGGGUAACCUGCCUCAUACAGGGGGAUAACAGUUGGAAACGGCUGCUAAUACCGCAUAAGCGCACAGUACCGCAUGGUACGGUGUGAAAAACUCCGGUGGUAUGAGAUGGACCCGCGUCUGAUUAGGUAGUUGGUGGGGUAACGGCCUACCAAGCCGACGAUCAGUAGCCGACCUGAGAGGGUGACCGGCCACAUUGGGACUGAGACACGGCCCAA
rnacentral:rRNA from 1 species